AUUGAACGCUGGCGGCAUGCCUUACACAUGCAAGUCGAACGGCAGCACGGGAGCAAUCCUGGUGGCGAGUGGCGAACGGGUGAGUAAAGCAUCGGAACGUGCCCAGUCGUGGGGGAUAACGUAGCGAAAGCUACGCUAAUACCGCAUACGAUCUGUGGAUGAAAGCGGGGGACCGUAAGGCCUCGCGCGAUUGGAGCGGCCGAUGUCAGAUUAGGUAGUUGGUGAGGUAAAGGCUCACCAAGCCGACGAUCUGUAGCUGGUCUGGGAGGACGACCAGCCACACUGGGACUGAGACACGGCCCAGACUCCUACGGGAGGCAGCAGUGGGGAAUUUUGGACAAUGGGCGCAAGCCUGAUCCAGCAAUGCCGCGUGCAGGAUGAAGGCCUUCGGGUUGUAAACUGCUUUUGUACGGAGCGAAAAGGCUUCCACUAAUACUGGGGGCUCAUGACGGUACCGUAAGAAUAAGCACCGGCUAACUACGUGCCAGCCGCCGCAGUAAAAC
rnacentral:rRNA from 1 species